CCCUUAGACGUUCUGGGCCGCGCGCGCGCUACACUGACACAGGCAACGAGCUUUCCUUUACCGAAAGGUAUGGGUAAUCUUUUGAAACUGUGUCGUGCUGGGGAUAGAUCCUUGCAAUUUUUGAUCUUAAACGAGGAAUUCCUAGUAAGCGCGAGUCAUCAACUCGCGUUGAUUACGUCCCUGCCCUUUGUACACACCGCCCGUCGCUACUACCGAUUGAAUGGCUUAGUGAGGCCUCAGGAUCCGCGCUUAAUGUGUGGAGAAUUUGGACAAACUACGUCAUUUAGAGGAAGUAAAAGUCGUAACA
rnacentral:rRNA from 1 species